rnacentral:rRNA from 1 species
UACGUAGGGGGCUAGCGUUGCUCGGAAUCACUGGGCGUAAAGGGUGCGUAGGCGGGUCUUUAAGUCAGGGGUGAAAUCCUGGAGCUCAACUCCAGAACUGCCUUUGAUACUGAAGAUCUUGAGUUCGGGAGAGGUGAGUGGAACUGCGAGUGUAGAGGUGAAAUCCGUAGAUAUUCGCAAGAACACCAGUGGCGAAGGCGGCUCACUGGCCCGAUACUGACGCUGAGGCACGAAAGCGUGGGGAGCAAACAGG